GACAGAGGGUGCAAACGUUGUUCGGAAUUACUGGGCGUAAAGCGUGUGUAGGCGGCCAUGUAAGUCGGAUGUGAAAGCCCCGGGCUUAACCCGGGAAGUGCAUUCGAUACUGCGUGGCUUGAGUAUCGGAGAGGUUGGUGGAAUUCUCGGUGUAGAGGUGAAAUUCGUAGAUAUCGGGAGGAACACCAGUGGCGAAGGCGGCGAUCUGGGCUGAUACUGACGCUGAGGUGCGAAAGCGUGGGGAGCAAACAGG
rnacentral:rRNA from 1 species